ACCCGCUGAACUUAAGCAUAUCAAUAAGCGGAGGAAAAGAAACCAACAGGGAUUGCCUCAGUAGCGGCGAGUGAAGCGGCAAAAGCUCAGAUUUGAAAUCCGGUACGGUUCCGUGCCUGAGUUGUAAUCUGGAGAGGAUGUUCCGGCGAGUCCGGCCGCCCAGGUUCCUUGGAACAGGACGUCUCAGAGGGUGAGAACCCCGUACCUGGCGGCUCGGGUUAGCCAUGUGGAACUCCUUCGACGAGUCGAGUUGUUUGGGAAUGCAGCUCAAACUGGGUGGUAAAUUCCAUCUAAAGCUAAAUAUCGGCGGGAGACCGAUAGCGCACAAGUAGAGUGAUCGAAAGAUGAAAAGCACUUUGAAAAGAGAGUUAAAAAGUACGUGAAAUUGUUGAAAGGGAAGCGCUUGCCAUCAGAACCGGCACCGGUCGAUCAGCGUUCCUUUUGGUUCGUGCACUCGGUCGGCUGCCGUGCCAGCAUCGGUCGCCGCGGCGGGACAAAGACGGCGGGAAAGUGGCUCCCCUCGGGGAGCGUUACAGCCCGCCGUGCAAUGCCGCCAGCCGGCGACCGAGGACCGCGCUUUUGCAAGGAUGCUGGCCUAAUGGUUGU
rnacentral:rRNA from 1 species